AUUGAACGCUGGCGGCAGGCCUAACACAUGCAAGUCGAGCGGAUGAAGGGAGCUUGCUCCUGGAUUCAGCGGCGGACGGGUGAGUAAUGCCUAGGAAUCUGCCUGGUAGUGGGGGAUAACGUCCGGAAACGGGCGCUAAUACCGCAUACGUCCUGAGGGAGAAAGUGGGGGAUCUUCGGACCUCACGCUAUCAGAUGAGCCUAGGUCGGAUUAGCUAGUUGGUGGGGUAAAGGCCUACCAAGGCGACGAUCCGUAACUGGUCUGAGAGGAUGAUCAGUCACGCUGGAACUGGGACACGGUCAGAACUCCACGGGAGGCAGCAGUGGGGAAUAUUGGACAAUGGGCGAAAGCCUGAUCCAGCCAUGCCGCGUGUGUGAAGAAGGUCUUCGGAUUGUAAAGCACUUUAAGCUGGGAGGAAGGGCAGUAAGUUAAUACCUUGCUGUUUUGACGUUACCAACAGAAUAAGCACCGGCUAACUUCGUG
rnacentral:rRNA from 1 species